AAAGAGAGAAGGAAUAAGCACGGGGCCAGGGCGGAGAGUGUCUCUCAGGACUUGACUCCAGAUAGCAUUUCCUGGGAAGUAAACUGAGGCCCCAAGGCAACAAAGCAAGAAACUAGGCCAAGCGCCUUGAGGCUAAAGGCCCAGUAACUGGGGGGCCCCAUUUACCUGCCCUGGUAGCUUCUGGCCAAUGAGAGACCUCCACCGCCUUUCCUUGCAGGAUGUACCAGGCUGCAGGCUCCAGCGCAGAGAAGGAGAAGACGGAGGCGGUGGUGAUGUCAACCAAGGAAUUAAGUACCAGCGAUUGUUAACAGCAGCACUGUUGCUGCCCCUGGUUGAGCUGUCUAUGGAAACAACGCCACCGGAUGGCAGACUGCUGACCGCGACCACGUGGCGUCCUCGUGGAGGGUACAGCCUGUUCCUCCUGCAGCAGGCACCUGUAGAGCUGCCUCCACUCAGGCUCCCUCACUCUCUAGGACCCAGC
rnacentral:lncRNA from 1 species